UUCAAGAGAGAUGUUAUUUCUUGCACAAGAAAUGUUACUUUUAAACGUUUUAAUCUCCCUUAUAAAACACAACACGAUUGCUUACCCUUCACUUCCAUCGCCUUCGUUCCUCUUAAUUAAUUACUAAUCAUCAAAUCAGCUGCAAUUCAGGGUUUAGGAAAAUGGUGAACCCACUGAAGUAUAUGCUUGAGAAUCCAACAAUCAACCCAAACCCGUUUGAUAUAUUGCUGAAAAGCCGGUUGUUUAGUUACUGCAAAGUUGCUGCUGGAGGGUUGGUUGUUGCUGGAUUUGCAAAAUUGGCCUCUUACCGCGAAGCCAAUGGCAGCGGCUAUGGCAUGUUUAAGGUUGGAGAAUGGUUCAAGGGCGUUCGUGGAAAAGGAUCCGAGGAAAACUAAGCACCUUUCCUUUUAAGAAUCUAAGUGUUCUUUAUAUAUCAUAGAUCAUGUUAAUUUUGUGAUUUCUAGUUUAUUAUGUUUAGUUGAAGCUACUAAUUUGGGAAUGAGCCUUUUAGUAGCCACAAGUUUUAAAAAUUAGUAUGAAAUUAGUAUUGCGAGCUGCAUGGCAGAUGAAGUGUUUUUGCUAAAUUCUGGAGGAAUUCAUUCAGUAAAAUCACUAGUAUGCUCAUAAUUUGCAUUAAUCUUAGUACACGAAGCUUCCCUGCCAAAAGUAGAGCUUCGUCUUUCUUUCCCUCAUCAGGAGACUUAAUGUUAAAAUCCAUCAUUUCUGCAAA